CUACCCCCACACCUUUUUGAGCUUCAGUUUCCUCAGCCUAGAAACGGGCAUAACACUAGUAAGUCACUCUGAGUGUUGGAAUGAUUAGAUGAGAGAAUGUUGAUGUGAAGGGUCUGGAAGCCCUAAAGCCCUGUGCAAGCAUUAGUCAAGGAGAUGGUGUGAGUGCUUGGCACACUGCCUGGCCCACACCCAGCAUCCUCACUGUUGUUGGUUUUGUUUCAGCUUUGUUGUUCUUGCUAUCGUAUUGCUAACACAUUAUUCCAAUCUCCCGCUUCUGAUGCACUUCCAUGCUGCUCACCUAGUGUGCAAGGUGGGUUGGAUCACCCCAUUUCACAGAAAAGACUCAGCCUUUGAGGUCUCAAGUGCAAUGGCAAGAACUCUGCCGGGGAGCCGUGAGAGCCCAUGUUUGGGAGAGGAUAGAACUCAACCAUAAAUAGUGCAAAUCAAAUCUGGAGGUCCAGGAAGGCUUGGAAACCAACCUUGUCUUGGGGCGGCUCCUCCCCAUUGUUCUGGGGUGGGUGUGGCCACUAGCACAGGGGCAGCCAAAGCACCGUUGGAAACCAGGCAAACACUUCCAAACUCAGCUGGGUUUCCACUGACGUCACUGCAGCCCCACCUCCUAGCAGAGCCCAAACCAGAAGCUCCCACACACCUUUCUCUGCCUAGCCUCAGAGAGGCCUGAGCAGGCCAUAGGAAUCAUGCUUGGGCUUUGUCAUUUAAGUGGAAAACAGCUCAGCAAGGCCCCAGGGAGCACAGGGUCUCUUUUGUAACUGCUCACUGGCUGGUCCAAGGUGGAGCCCAGACCCAGGGUCCUCACUGGAGAAGCCCCCAAAGGGGUUCAGGGAGGACAAAAUCUUUUAGGUCCUGUGUCAUACUUGUUAUUUUAGCAUAGAUUAAUGUGAAAUCAGAA
rnacentral:lncRNA from 1 species